CGCGUAGGCGGGUAUUCAAGUCUGUGGUGAAAUCCGGCAGCUCAACUGUCGAAUUGCCGCGGAUACUGGGUAUCUCGAGGGAGGUAGGGGCGUGCGGAACUAAUGGUGGAGCGGUGAAAUGCGUUGAUAUCAUUAGGAACUCCGGUGGCGAAGGCGGCACGCUGGACCUCUUCUGACGCUGAGGCGCGAAAGCCAGGGAGCAAACG
rnacentral:rRNA from 1 species